ACCCAUCUGACGAGUCCUAGAUAGGACGAAAUGCGCCUCCUGAGU
rnacentral:hammerhead_ribozyme from 1 species